rnacentral:sRNA from 1 species
GCCGGGCAUGGUGGUGCAAGCCUGUAAUCCCAGUGGCUCAGGAGGCUGAGGCAGGAGGAUCACAAGUUCAAAGACAGCCUCAGGAACAGCAAGGCACUAAGCAACUUAGUGAGACCCUGUCUCUA